rnacentral:rRNA from 1 species
UACGUAGGGGGCUAGCGUUGUCCGGAUUUAUUGGGCGUAAAGAGCGUGUAGGCGGCCAGGUAGGUCUGGUGUGAAAACUCGAGGCUUAACCUCGAGAUGUCAUCGGAAACCAUCUGGCUAGAGUCCGGAAGAGGAGAGUGGAAUUCCUGGUGUAGCGGUGAAAUGCGCAGAUAUCAGGAAGAACACCAAUGGCGAAAGCAGCUCUCUGGGACGGUACUGACGCUGAGCAGCGAAAGCGUGGGGAGCGAACAGG